UGACUAGCAAGGGAGGAGGACUGGCUCCUGAGUGCUUCUCUAAACCUGAGACCACACAGUGUUGGGAAUGAGGAGAUCUAUACAAUGAGAGAAACUGAAAUAUCAACAUGGAGAACUACAGAGACCUGGGACUUUUCGGUGCUGAGGCUAAGGGGAGGAGCCCCGCAGAAAUGCCUAUAAAUGUAAUUCAAUUACAGAUGUGAAGCCAUCAGUCAGGAUAAGGAGUGAUUUGCAAGGAAUAUGUGGCUUCAGUGAGCUGCAAAGAUGAUGUGGAGUUUAUCUCCUGAAAACUUUGAACAUAGAAGGAGGAACACACUGGCUAAGAAAAGCAGAAUUAAAGCUUCAAACAUACGCAGAGAGGAGGAAAGUAGAACAAUAAACUGGAGAAGUAAAUGAACAGCCCUGGAUGUGGAUGCAUUCCAAGCUAAUCAAUUCAUCUAAUUUCUAUCCCCUAAUGGUUGAACCAUGCAUCACUAUGAUGCACUCUGGAAUUUGGAUGCGCACGAGCUGGGCUUCUCUUCCCAGAUAACGAUGUGCACACCUGUACAGAACACACUGGUUUCUUCAGUAAUGGAAAGCAGAAGAACACAGCAGCAGCAAAGCAAGGAGUUCUCUUAAGCCUGCAGCGGGCAUGGGAGGGCGGGGGGGACUCAGAAAGAAAAAGGUUGAGGACCCUUGCCCUAAGCGAGCACCUAGCGCGGCUUUCCGACACCUGGAGUUCCACUGUCCUUAUGUGAGAGUUCAGUUCACAUCUCUCUCCCACUAAUAUUCGGCCCUUCCUUUGUUUCCCCCUGUACUGCAGAAAAUGGGUCUGAUGCCAGAUCCCCCUCUGAGCUGAUUAUUUUAAAGAAACUAACUUGGGUCUAUUAAACUGUUUUUGAAGCUUC